rnacentral:rRNA from 1 species
AGCAGCCGCGGUAAUUCCAGCUCCAAUAGCGUAUAUUAAAGUUGUUGCAGUUAAAAAGCUCGUAGUUGAAUUUCGGGGUUAGUAGGUUGGUCAUGCCUCUGGUAUGUACUGGUCUCACUGAUUCCUCCUUCCUGAUGAACCUUAAUGCCAUUUAUUCGGUGUUUUGGGGAAUUUGGACUGUUACUUUGAAAAAAUUAGAGUGUUUAAAGCAAGCUAACGCUUGAAUACAUUAGCAUGGAAUAAUGAAAUAGGACGUUCGAUCCUAUUUUGUUGGUUCUAGGAUUGACGUAAUGAUUAAUAGGGAUAGUUGGGGGCAUUAGUAUUCAAUUGUCAGAGGUNAAAUUCUUGGAUUUAUUGAAGACUAACUACUGCGAAAGCAUUUGCCAAGGAUGUUUUCAUUAAUCAAGAACGAAAGUUAGGGGAUCGAAGACGAUCAGAUACCGUCGUAGUCUUAACCAUAAACUAUGCCGACUAGGGAUCGGAUGAUGUUAAUUUUUU